rnacentral:rRNA from 1 species
GCUUUCUGAUCACAUGGGGGGUCGUGCCUUCCCGGUGGGUAUACGAGCCUAAACGGACGCGGUAAAUCGUGCUAAGGUAGCUAAAUUAUGGCCCAUUAAUUGUGGGUCCUGUGAAUGGUUUGACGAGUCCUCGACUGUCUCAAGGUUGUUUUGGUGAACUUGAAUUGAACGUGCAAAUGCUUUCAUGGGAGAGAAAGACGAGAAGACCCCGUGAAGUUAGAAAUUCCUAUUAUAGCGUCAAUCCGCAUUGACUAAUGUCAGCGUUGGGAUAUUUUAGGUGUUUUAAUAUUUUAUUAGUUUAGUGGUAUUGAAUAUUUUUGAUUUUUGAGUAGAGGAGUGUAAUUUUGAUGAGUUUUGGCUGGGGCAGCAAAGAGGCAAAACUAGACCUUUUUAGUCACGCUAACGGGUGCGUUACGACCCACAGAGGUAAAUAGUGUGAUUUGAAGAAGGAGUUACUCCGGGGAUAACAGCGUAAUCUUCCUUGAUAGUUCUUAUAGAUGGGCGGGUUUGCGACCUCGAUGUUGGCUCUUGGUAUCCUGAGGCUUGUAGGCGGUCUCGCGGGUUGGUUCGUGUCGCCCAUUAAAACCU